ACAGCAGCAGCCACGGUAAUACGUAGGUGGCAAGCGUUGUCCGGAAUUAUUGGGCGUAAAGGGCUCGCAGGCGGUUUCUUAAGUCUGAUGUGAAAGCCCCCGGCUCAACCGGGGAGGGUCAUUGGAAACUGGGAAACUUGAGUGCAGAAGAGGAGAGUGGAAUUCCACGUGUAGCGGUGAAAUACGUAGAGAUGUGGAGGAACACCAGUGGCGAAGGCGACUCUCUGGUCUGUAACUGACGCUGAGGAGCGAAAGCGUGGGGAGCGAACAGGAUUAGAUACCCGCGUAGUCCCUGUCUCUUAUAC
rnacentral:rRNA from 1 species